CCAAAUCCCUCUCCGCCUCUCCCCUCUCAUCACCUUCAUCCCCCUCCCCUUCCCCGCCAUCCUCAACUUACCACCCAACGCCGAAUCCUCCAUGGACGCACCACACCACCAAGCUCAGCUCCUCAAAAUCGCCUUCGAUUUUCUUAAACAACCACUCUCGGAUUUUCUCGAGAAAAUUAGCCCGAACCCAGAUUGGAUUAUCUCUGAUUACGCCUCUCACUGGCUGUCGGGACUUGCGGCAGAGAUGGGUGUUUCGUGUGCUUUUUUCAGCCUUUUUAAUGCUGCGACAAUGGUGUUUUUUGGGCCUCCGGCGAAGGUGUUGAGCGGGGAUUGUGUGAGGAGCAGUGCAGAGGAUUUUCAGAUUUUCUUCAAUUUCAGAUUUUCAGAUUUUCUUCAUUUUCAUAUUUUCAGAUUUCAACCUAUUACAACAGUCAAUUUCAGAUUUUCUUAAAUUUCAGGUUUCAACAGAGAACUAAAGGUUUGGACACUUCGGAAUUGCUUGAGCAGUUGCCAGCAUUGCAGUAGCUUCUAUUUCGUGUUCUUGGUUGCCAGCCACAGGAGCAACGGUUCAUAAUUUUGUGAUUCAAUUAGCACUCUCUAUGGUUGCUUCUGAAAGCAUUAAAAUCUACAAUGCUAUCAGUGAUGGUGUCGUAAAUUUGGUCGACAAGUUCUUUGAAAUGCAACGGCAUGAUGCUCUUAAGGCUUUGGAUAUAUAUCAGAGGUCAGGGAAACAGGUAAAUAG